GGAAAGUAAUUUUUCACUGGGUGGAAAAAUCCUGAUGUUUCUGAUCAAGAAAAGACACUAGUCAGUGAAAACUGCCAUUUAAAUGCUUAUGCUUAAGUAAGAUUUAUCACCAAUGGAUAAAAUGGUGUUCUCUAUAUGUAAGAAGUAAAGAUUUGUCAAGAAAUAGUUUCUGUCAACCUGUGGAGUUGGGCAAGGGAUUCAUGCUGAUAUUUAAUAGCUCAAAACAGCAGGAAGGCAAAGAGAUUAUGUGGGUCAUAUCUAGUCGCAAAGUAAAGACCAUCAAUAAUACCAUAUCACAAUUUGUUAUACAUAUACACUGAAUGAUGUCUACUUUAAUGAAACCAUACCAUCAGUGUGGAAACACCUAAAGAGCUGUUUAGAAAAAACACAGGUAAGUGAAGCCCAUCCUUAUUUGUUCGGUAGGAUGUGCAUUUUUUGACCAUCUGUAUUUUUUAAGAGUUCCAUCCAUAAUUUUCAUGUUCACUACCAACAGUUCCACAUUGGCUACCAUAGUCCCAAGUAAGAGAUGAAAUGACAAAACCUGACUGGUGGUGGUAUCCCAAUAAUAGUUAACUGAAUAGAAAAUUUGGCAAGUUAUUGAAACAUUUAUUCAAAGACUGAUAAUUAGUUUAUGAAAUGUUAUAAAAUAUAAAUAGAUGAGGCUGGGCCUAGAAUAUUAUAGCCCUAAAUGAAAAUGUUUACCUGAUAUUGCCUU